ensembl:lncRNA
ACCACCGUUGCUUCAGUCUACUGUCACUGUCAACAUCCCAGGAUAUAACAGGUUAUGUCCGGUCAGGUUUAUGAGAAUGGCUGGCACCAUGUGGGAAACAAUGACCAGGGCUCUCUUGACUUCAAGGCCUUCAAACCUCAACAGUAAAAAGUGACUGCAGUGGAUGUAGAACAAAGGUGAAACAUCGAUGGGGCCAAAAUAAGGUGAGUAGUAUACACAACACCUAACAAAUAGAACACCUAUGAUAGUAAUAUACACAUUUCUAAGAGUGCCACAAACUGCUGAGCCAUAUGGUGUUAGAUUUCAGGGAUGGAUGGCGAAGGCUUCUUCCCAUACAGCCACAACAACAGCAGUGAGCAGGCAUACAGACCAGACCAGGGCACUUACCUUGCCAGAGAGAGAGAUUAGGGUUUAGGAAGUGGAGCAGGACAUUGAGAUGACAUGGCUAAAUUUAACGCAGUGCCCAGUGAAUGAUGGGUAUAAAUCGCUGACAGGAAGGAUUCCAGC